rnacentral:sRNA from 1 species
GUUAAGAUAGUAAAAAUGUAUUAAUUUAAUAAAAGUCUGUUUUAAACAUAUGUUCACAAUUUCUCUGCACUAUCACAAAUCAAACCUUCGCAGACAAUCCCACCUCCCGGACAAAGCCCAGUACCUUCCCAGGGUUACAUUUAUCGAACAGUGUUUUUAAGCUGUGUGCUCCAAAAUAUUUCUCCCUAAUAUCCUGGUAUCUGGGGCAAUCAAUGAGGAUUUGUUCCCAGGUGAGACAUGAGUCACUUUUAUUAUUUAGGACUUAUAAAUUACUCAAAAUAAAUGAGUCUUGCUUAUGUAAAUUAAAAUAGAAACUCCAUAAAGUGCCCAAGGGGUAUUUGAUAGAACUAGUUGCAUGAAUUCUUUCAUUGCUUUCAGUAUUUGUUUUAAUAGUCAUUAUAUAUCUAUAUAUAUUUGUAUAUCACAUUAUUUGUUCAUCUUAUCUUUUAGAUAUAUCUUGAUGCUCCUUUUUCUGAAGUUAAAACACUGUUUACUAUGACUUUACACACAACAAGGUUUGAGAAACACAAAGUAGAGCUCAGAUGAUGAAUAUAUACAUUAAAUAUUUCAGUGAUUUGCAAAUGCAAUCCAAAUAAUUAUAAACAGUUCUGAAUAUUGGGCUCAAGAAACCAUUUGUAGUUUGAAGUCACUAUGUCAAAGCCUGCAUUAAGUUAACCAACUUUCCACAUCUACUAUUUAACCAGCAGUCACAUAAACCUACCUGAUAUAUCAAUGCUAAUAAGAAGACACACAUCCCUGAUAAAGCUGAGCAGAAGCCAGACAAAACAACCAAACCAUAACUCCAGGAGAGGUAA